CCUACGGGCCGCAGCAGUGGGGAAUAUUGCACAAUGGGCGCAAGCCUGAUGCAGCGACGCCGCGUGAGGGAUGACGGCCUUCGGGUUGUAAACCUCUGUUAGCAUCGAAGAAGCGAAAGUGACGGUAGGUGCAGAGAAAGCGCCGGCUAACUACGUGCCAGCAGCCGCGGUAAUACGUAGGGCGCGAGCGUUGUCCGGAGUUAUUGGGCGUAAAGAGCUUGUAGGCGGUUGCUCGCGUCUGCUGUGAAAGGCCGGGGCUUAACUCCGGUUUUGCAGUGGGUACGGGCUAACUAGAGUGCAGUAGGGGAGACUGGAAUUCCUGGUGUAGCGGUAGAAUGCACAGAUAUCAGGAGGAACACCGAUGGCGAAGGCAGGUCUUUGGGCUGUAACUGACGCUGAGAAGCGAAAGCAUGGGGAGCGAACAGGAUUAGAUACCCUUGUAGUC
rnacentral:rRNA from 1 species